ensembl:snRNA U6 U6 spliceosomal RNA
GUGCUCACUUCAGCAGCACAUAUAUAUACUAAAAUUGGAAUGACACAGGGAAGAUUAGCAUGACCCCUGUGCAAGGAUGACAUGCAAAUUCGUGAAGCAUUCCAUAUUUUU